rnacentral:sRNA from 1 species
GCCUCGUGGAUCUGCGAGGGCGAGAGCAGAUGGACGUGCGAGUCGAUGGCGCCUGCGGUGACGAUGCGUCCCUCACCGGAGAUGACAUCCGUGGACGGCCCGAUGAUCAUGUCGAUGCCGUCGCUGAUGUCGGGAUUGCCCGCAUGCCCGAUCCCGACGAUGCGACCAUCUCGGAUGCCGAUAUCGGCGCGGAUGAUGCCCCACCAGUCCAGGAUGAUCGCGUUCGUGAUGACCGUGUCGAGGGCGCCGUCCGCUCGCGUCGUCGUCGCCUGCGCCAUGGACUCGCGGAU